rnacentral:rRNA from 1 species
GACGAGCCUCACAAACGUUAUUCGGAAUUACUGGGCUUAAAGGGUGCGUAGGCGGCGCGGAAAGUUGGGUGUGAAAUCCCUCGGCUCAACCGAGGAACUGCGCCCAAAACUACCGUGCUCGAGGAAGAUAGAGGUGAGCGGAACUUACGGUGGAGCGGUGAAAUGCGCAGAUAUCGGGAGGAACACCGGUGGCGAAGGCGGUUCUCUGGGCCUUACCUGACGCUGAGGAGCGAAAGCGUGGGGAGCGAACAGG